GAAGAUUUAAGAUUAAUAUCAUUUUGUCAAUGUUUUACCAACAUGGCUUAUCUGUCUUACAUUAUCAAACUCAUAGCUUGAGUGUCUCAUCUGCCAAAAAACUCUCUUCAUUGCGCGCACAACACGGUAGCCAUUGUGAAAUGUUAAGUGGUCUUCAGGUUGCCACACAGUUUGAUGUUGCAAAAUCAGUAAGUAUCAAAGAGUGACAACACUUCUCUAAGCUGCAUAUGGUAUAUAGUUGCAUCACCAAAUCUUAUUUUUCGCCCAGAAGAGGAGAAUAACAACUCCAACGACAUUAGCAACGGGUGCCCAUUUCCGAAUCAGAGCCUGACGGUUUAAAUCUCUUGCUUUAUCAGCAUAAAUGCGGGAUUCUGAUGUCAAGCGACUGGACAUCUGACUGACCUGAUCCAACUUCUCACCAACACCUAAAACUUCUUGUACAUUUCGAGUCAU
rnacentral:misc_RNA from 1 species